rnacentral:rRNA from 1 species
UACGAAGGGGGCUAGCGUUGUUCGGAUUUACUGGGCGUAAAGCGCACGUAGGCGGAUCGUUAAGUCGGGUGUGAAAUCCCAGAGCUCAACUCUGGAACUGCCUUUGAUACUGGGUAUCUCGAGUAUGGAAGAGGUGAGUGGAAUUCCGAGUGUAGAGGUGAAAUUCGUAGAUAUCGGGAGGAACACCGGUGGCGAAGGCGGCGACCUGGGUCGAUACUGACGCUGAGGUGCGAAAGCGUGGGGAGCAAACAGG